AGAAAAGUAAGCUAAAUUAAGCUAAUGGGCUCAUACCCCAUUGAUGGAUUUAAUCCCUUUUCUA
rnacentral:tRNA from 1 species